rnacentral:rRNA from 1 species
UGAAUCAUGAUAACUUAACGAAUCGCAUGGCCUUGCGCCGGCGAUGGUUCAUUCAAAUUUCUGCCCUAUCAACUUUCGAUGGUAGGAUAGUGGCCUACCAUGGUAUCAACGGGUAACGGGGAAUUAGGGUUCUAUUCCGGAGAGGGAGCCUGAGAAACGGCUACCACAUCCAAGGAAGGCAGCAGGCGCGCAAAUUACCCAAUCCCGACACGGGGAGGUAGUGACAAUAAAUACUGAUACAGGGCUCUUUUGGGUCUUGUAAUUGGAAUGAGUACAAUUUAAAUACCUUAACGAGGAACAAUUGGAGGGCAAGUCUGGUGCCAGCAGCCGCGGUAAUUCCAGCUCCAAUAGCGUAUAUUAAAGUUGUUGCAGUUAAAAAGCUCGUAGUUGAACCUUGGGCCUGGCUGGCCGGUCUGCCUCACCGCAUGUACUGGUUCGGCCGGGCCUUUCCUCCUGGGGAUCCGCAUGCCCUUCACUGGGUGUGUUGGGGAACCAGGACUUUUACUUUGAAAAAAUUAGAGUGUUCAAAGCAGGCCUUUGCUCGAAUACAUUAGCAUGGAAUAAUAGAAUAGGACGUGCGGUCCUAUUUUGUUGGUUUCUAGGACCGCCGUAAUGAUUAAUAGGGAUAGUCGGGGGCAUCAGUAUUCAGUUGUCAGAGGUGAAAUUCUUGGAUUUACUGAAGACUAACUACUGCGAAAGCAUUUGCCAAGGAUGUUUUCAUUAAUCAGUGAACGAAAGUUAGGGGAUCGAAGACGAUCAGAUACCGUCGUAGUCUUAACCGUAAACUAUGCCGACUAGGGAUCGGGCGAUGUUAUUCUUUUGACUCGCUCGGCACCUUACGAGAAAUCAAAGUC